UCUCUCGAUAAUCCUUGUAUCAAUUAUUACAGACGGAUCUUAUCCCUCUAUUCUUAUGAUUUUUUCUAAGAGAAAAAAUCUGUGGUCUCUAGGAUUUCAUCUUCUGCUUCAAUCCUUACAUAAUUUUCAUUCUUCUCUAAUAACCUUUUCAAUCUCGAAUUUUUGAUGUCCCAAAUUUGUAUUCUUCAUCUCCAUCGUGUUCCCGGAAAAAUAUUCACGGUUAAUUCGGCACCUAAAAAGGAUUUUUUUGAUGGCGUCAGUACAAGUAAUUGGUUCAGGAAUCGGUACUUGAAGCUUAUUGCCUUCAUUUGAUGGAUUUAGUAGAUCUGGAAUGAUAAAUCAUCGCUGAUGAAUAACCCUACAAAUGAUGGCGCAGACUGGUGGUGUAUUGUACCGUUCCUGUUGGUUGUUGCCGAAUUCAACAGGUGGGUUGGGAAGGGAUGUGUUGCAACUGCAAGUUACUGGUGGUAUUAGCCUAAGAAAGGGUAGCUGCGAAUGGCGAGAAGGGGCUUUUGCUGUGGCUUGAGAUGCAGGAAUGGUUGGUGUUGUAUGAAAGUCAGGUGGUUACGAUUGCGAUGAACCUGAAUUGGGAGGCAGUGGAAGGAGGUGGUGGAUGUGUAGUUUUGGAGCUGAUAUCCAGCUUUCGAGUACUCGUCACAAAAUCACAAUGUGGUCCAAGUCAGUUAUGAUGACUACAAGAAAUGCAACGCUGCAUCACCAAUGAAAACCUUCACUUCUGGCAAAGAUACAAUUCCAAUUAAGCUCAAGGGACACCUUUUCUACAUCUGUGGAUUUUGAGACAACUGUAAAAAGGGACAGAAGGUUGGUAUUAGAGUUGUUGAUGCCCUUAAAGCUCAAACUCCACCUUUAGCACAAGCACCUUCUUCUUUCGCUCCUACACCUUCAGCAUCAGUCAGUGCCCCAGCUCCUUCAACAAAGAUCUUAUGAUCUUAUAUUACCAAUUCCUUUUUAAUGUUAUUCAAGGUCAGUUUGAAAAAUAUUUUAUAGUCAAAGAUGCUACUUUGUUCCUUCUAAGGUAUUGGAUUGAUCUUCCUUUUGGACUCUUAAGUUGAGUGAGAUUAGAUUGUUUCUGGGUGUUGAUAGCAUUUGGAUAAGAUUAGUUCUGGCUUUUCGUCUAUUUUCUCUAUUAAAAUGACUGAUUUUUUUUCAAUUCCAUAAGAAGUUUUGUUUUUUGUUGGUUCAUAGGGUAUAGAUUACUACUACCUCAGAUGUGGGUAAGAUAGCCGCAUACACAAUUUUAACUCAGUCCUGUUUUUGUCCAAUUAUUUUGUUGCAAUGUUGCUUUUAAUUAAGUUAAUUUUCCAACUAGUUUUGCGACUGUUGGUGAAAAAUCAUCUGUUAUGCCGGAGAAUUUCAUAAGUUGAAUUGCUUAUUGGAACACGCGGUAUGUAUGUGCUUAUACCUUAGAUGCCCAAGAAGGCAACAAUAUCGUUUCAUACUUAGGUUUUCAUUUUGUGAAGGCUUGACAGAAGUUUGAAGAAGCUUAUUGUAUGUAUGUAGGCAUGUACCCAUAUACUAAUUUGUACAUAAGACUCUUUAUGAAUGUUGCCUGACUCGUUUUCUCAUCCUAAUUGCUUUAGCUUCCAUAUUGUAUUGUAGAAUGGCUGAAAGUAAGCAUUUUAUUUGUAUUCAUUAUAGUCUUACUGCUAAGGAAUUGAACAAAUGGUUAAUUUUCUUAGUGUUGGAUUAGGUUUCCUGAUGAUCCACCUGGCGUAACGAGAUCUGAAAGCUGGUGAACUUGUAUGAAUGUACCUGUUAUUUCAUUUGGUGGGAGUGAAUUUUAUUCAAGGUGAAAUACACGAAUCAUUGAAACUGAAUUUUCUUUUAUUCUCUUAGUCCGAAGAAUACAUAUGCUCUGACCAGUAGUGAUAAUGAUACAUUGCUUCUUUUAUAUCUAUUCUUAAUCAUAUUAUAUUCAUGCGGAUAACGUCAUUUUUAUAUCCAUGUUGUAAUCGAUUGUAUCCAUACAUAUUUUGUGUAUACCACUUAUGAUAAUACAGCCAAGCAAUCUCAUGCAGUUGGCGAUUGUGGUUCCUCUACACAAUCAUCCCACUCUGUUAUUGAUGAUCAACCAGAAAAAUGGGUUCAUGUUACUUACGAUAGAUGUUACUUCUGAAAAUUUGGGCAUUAAUGAAAUUUUAUUGGGACAAGAUUUUUCUUAGUUCUCUGUUGACUCUGUUGCGUGAAGUUUUAUAUGUUUUCUAUUUUCUUGUGCACAUUAUUUACUGUAUCUUGUCUGUUUAGAAUAAAUGACAACUAUAUUUUUUUUAUUGAGAUUGUCCAGAGAUGUGCAGGAGGGUAUUUCAUACGCACUUCCCCCAUUUAUAUUUUUUGAAGCUAUCCUGGAUUGGUCCUUUCUAUGGCAUUAACUUCAUUAUUUACUUAUUGGGGCAAACAUUCCACAGAGAUUUGGAAGCUUGAGUUUGUUGUUUAAUGGCUACCAAAUUGAUUAUCACUUAAUUACAAGGUACGAAAUUUCAGCUUGGAUUGGUUAUUGAAAGCAAAGCUAAUCAGUCCAUGGAAAUAAGUUGGCAUGAGAACAUAAAACCUUAUUCUGCUCAGGUAUGUCUUAGUAUAUACAUGGAUUGAUAGCGAUUGAUUCAUACAUUUUUUUUUCUAAGUUGUAAUUGACGCUGCCUCCAAUCAUGUCUUAAGAGAAGAUAUUAUAUUUCUCGCCAGUAUAAUCCCAAUAUAUGCUUGGGUUUUUAACAUGCAUGGGUUCAUUGUAGAAACAUUAAGCAGUUGGAUAGUUGGAGUGGAAUUCGGCCAAUACGUAUAUAUUGAACUAUUCAAAUAUUCUCAACCCUUUGCUUCAUUUUUCAUGCGUGUCAACUGUGUAGCUUUCUUCAUGUUUGCUGACCAGCCUCACUCCUGCCUGUCUGCAAGUUCCAGUUUGCUGUCUUGUUCAAGAACUGUUGCUAUGAGAUUGAUUUUGCUGCCUGGGUGUCUCCUUGUAAAGGAUCCUUUUAUCUUGCAGGGUCUUGUAGUGUUCGGAAGUUGUUGUUUUUCCGUAUUCUUUUGUUUUUUUAGUGUUUGAUAAUUGAUGCUAAUUACGUAUGUAUUAUUAGCAUUUUGUAAAAGUCGUACAAGCGAGUUCGAGUCUGUAGAAACAUUUUUGUUUAAAUCAUAUAUAUUUUUCUA